rnacentral:misc_RNA from 1 species
AAGUCGUAACAAGGUAACCGUAGGUGAACCUGCGGUUGGAUCAUUACUGAUUACAACUUGACCUGUGGUGAGCUCUAACGAGUUCCCUCAGUGUCAUAAACAUUUUGUGCAUUUUUGUGUAUUUGGGUUGUAUUUUCUCUCUUUGAGCUUGAUCUUGACCGUGACGUUACUUGCAAUGCUUAAUGCAUUCAGUUAAAGUCUAGGUCUAGGUCUGGAUUAGGAUGAAAGUCAACCCAACAAUGAUAAAAAACCUUUAUACUUUUGACUGAAAUCUCUAUGUAAAUAGAAACAACUUUUGACAACGGAUCUCUUGGCUCUC